UGGGCAAUGGUUAGAGGUUCCCACCCCC
rnacentral:piRNA from 1 species